ensembl:lncRNA
GAGACUAGCCUAAUUUCACUGUUCCUGGCUUUAAAGCUGAGAGGCUAGUCAAGUUCAUCAAGCCCUUCCCCCAGUGUAAGCAAUGGCAGAGAACCACUGACUCAUCACACUGUUAUGACUGACCUGAUUCCACCAAGGUCACCCAGUUCUCUCACCUUUAAAACUGUCCGGGGUCAAGAUUGUUGUAUCAGUAUGUCUUCUCAUUCCCUCUGAAAGGGUCUUUCAACACUCCCUGCCUCUCCUAUAACUCCUUCCCAGGACUCAGACCCUUCCUCACCACCCAGUAGCCACCCACCCACUAAUUAGUCUGGAGAAUAAUUUAUAUAAUUUUUUCUUCCUCCUUUUGAUGAUAAUUAAUGAGACUUCCAGCUCCUAUUAUAAGGAUACAUUUUCUGCACUGGGAGGCUAGGCCCAGCAGGGUGACCAUGAAGGGAUGGAGAGAGGGAGGGAAGAGAGCCCAGCAGGAGCUUAAACACACUGCUGCAGAGGGAGCUGAAAUGGGUCUCCGUCACACUGGAUCCCCCACCUGCCUUGCCCACACCCACAUGCAGUAGGACUCGGAUGGGGGGGGGGGGGGGGGGGAUCAGGCUAGCUAUAACCUCCGUAUUGAACAUCUAUUCAGGCUUUCAGGCUGAGUGUGCAGAAUCAUAUUACUAGUUGGACUGAUUUAGUGGAUUUUUCCUUAUUGUUUUCUCAGAUAGCCAUCCCCCUGCCAGUGGCCUCUGAGGUGUCGCCCCACUCUGUGCUGGUCGAGAGUGGGCCUGUGGUCUAUGACGAUGUGGCAGAUGAGGAAGAGGAGGAUGAGGAGGAGCCCUGCGUCAGCGCCAUGGAGCUGCUGGGAGGCAACGAGUAUGGAUGUGAUGAUGAUGAUGGUUUCUAGCACUACUGGGUUUGGCCUGUUUGUCUGGACCGUUGUGCUACUCCAACCCCCUGUCCCAUUUGGAGAGAGUGACUCAUUGAUUGAGACGGCGGAGACACCUUUCAUGCUCGCAGAAUGGUGAAGAGGAUGGAGAUGAUGACAGGAUCCAUUUCUUCUCAGGAUAUCUCCUUUAUCUAGGAAAGAGAUUAUGGGUAGUAUUGAGCUGGAUCGAACAAAGAGACUAACCGCAAUGUCUCAUCCUACAUUUCACGUCACUCAAGUAUACACUACCAUUCAAAAGAUUGUGGUCAUGUUCUUGUUUUUGAAAGAAAAGCACCUUUUUUCCCCCAUUAAAAUAACAUCAAAAUGAUCAGAAAUACAGAGUAGGCAUUAUUGUUGUAAAUGACUAUUGUAGAUAGUGGCCCCAAACUUUUGAACGGUAGUGUAUGUUGACUUUGCCUUAGCUUUUUGACCCCCCCCCCCCCCUCUAUCAUGGAUAAGUAUGUCUGUAAUUACAUGAAAGUGAAGUACACUACCUAAUGUGUUGGGAACAGUCAUAACAGAUAGGUAUUAGUCCAAUCAGUAUUUCAAAAAUCAUGUAUGAAAGAAGUUGUAUGCAAGCUUGCGUCUGAAGCCAAAGUAUUGCUCAAUAAUCAUGCCUUGAAUAUGUAAAAUCAUAUGGAGUAUGUUUCAGUUUAAAUGCUCAUGUUAAUCAAGGUGAUGAAGUUGCAUUCAGCCAAUGAAGUCUUGAAACCUGUAUUAUAGGAUUAGCUCAAUUUGAACUGGUAGCAUUUUGAUUUGGUUUUGGAUUUCUUUUUCAACAGCUGCUAUUUAUUUAAUGUGGUAUGAUUUCUCAUUAUUUGUUUUAUGGAGAAGAAUUCUGCAAACUAUUUUGGACUGGAUAAUCACUAACGUGUUAAAGCUGGAAUCCAUUGCGGUGAUACUGCCACGUCCGUUUGGGGUAUUACAACAACAAAGACAUUACGUCAAACAACACUUUUUUUUUCGUAAAUCAUUGCACGUGCGAUAGAACAGCAUAGUAUGUACUACGAUUUUUUUUCUUUUUUCUACCAUGAUGCAGGAUUGCUUGUUGCGCCUACCGCACAUCUCAGCUUUAAUUAAUUGUACAAAAAGCUGCCAAAUAUAUUCAUUGUUGAUGAUCAACUAUGCAAUGUUAUCCAUUCCAAAUGAAUGACAUUGUGUUAUGGAUUUAUUUUGUAAAUGCGCUUUUAGUAUUUUAUUUGGAAAAUGUUGACUGGGAGGAUCACUGGUGGUUUGUUUACUGUGUUGACACAACUGUAUUUAAGGAGAAGUUAGGAUGUGGCUAAUGUUCACAGCCUCUCCUUCCACUUUGCUGCUACUGUAUAUAGACGGGUUGGUUGAUUAGCAACAAAACCGCCGCGUGCAAAACUAUGGGGAAAAACAAGGUUGGCUUAGAUUGUUGACAAACUAUAUUUUGUCUACAGUGUUAUUGAAAACAUAAAUACAUUUGCACAAUGAUCACUACGUCGUUGGUUGGCUAGCUAGCACAUUUUUGGCCAUAUUAGCAUAGAUGUGACAUCAGUGAAAACACCUAAAAACAAGACACCGACAUUUCCCCACAUGGCAGUUUCUUGUCAUUGUUGCUAGCUAUCUGGCCAUCCAGAAUCACAACAGACUUCUGCCCCAUUUUGAAGUGUGCGCAUCCUUUUCGUGACGUCAACUAACCCGUCUGUGUUGAAGGUUACUUGUUUUGCAUUGACUGUCUCAGUAAAGCUCCUACCAACAGGAAACUUUUGUUCUUAUUCUCUUUUCUAAUUUGUCUACUAUCAUCUUUUCGUCGUGUAUUGAUAUAAGUGUUAGAACUGCUUUUGACAUGAAUACAUGAAACAACAGGGUUUAGUGACCAGUCUCCUCUAAUUGUAAUA